rnacentral:rRNA from 1 species
UUUUGCAACCAUAUCACUCUGCAACUCACAACUGGCAACCCACUGAAGAUAAGCAGGUGAGCCUGGUCAGUACCUGGAUGGAAGACCUCCUGGGAAAAUCUAAGGUUGCUGAUG